GGGGAUAUAGCUCAGUUGGUAGAGUGCUUGCCUUGCAUACAGAAGGCCCUGGGUUUGAUCCCUAGCACCAUCC
rnacentral:tRNA from 1 species